CAAAUCGGAAUUAUUCAGCAAAAAACUCCCCUAAACUAUCAGUCUCAUCAAGUCGGCAGAUAUCUGUUCGGAGCCGAAGAGGAGUUAGAGGUGCUGAAGUUACAGUUUCUGGAAUAAUCACUUUCCUCAUUUGAGCUGAUGAAUGCUGCAAAAAUGCAAACAUGUGAAGACAUGUCAAAACGUCCUCACCAGACAACAGACACAGCGAAGACAAGGGAGCAAACCUCAGGAGAGCCUUUGGGUGUCCAAACACGAAGCUCCAGCAUGGAGAAACUUUUAAACCUGAGCCAGGAUGAAUCUGCAGUGUUUACGUCUUCACCACUGCCCAAGGUGACUGCAGGAGUAACUGGGGGCUUAUCUUUCUGUUCUGAAGAGGCAUCAAAGAAAAAUGAGGAAAAAUAGUGAAAUCGAGAGAUGAUCUUUUUACACUGUUUAAUUUUUUUAGCCAUUAUUUGUUUUUUUUGCUGCUGUUGAAACAUCAGUACUGUAUUACCAUACUGAGUUUCUAAAUUCUCCUCAUGUCAUCCACCCACAUUUCCAAGGACCUAGAGGUUGGGUUUGUUGAUAACUCUAAACUUGUCCUAACUGGAUGUGCGAGAAAAUAUGGAUACCCAAUAUUCCUGGGGAACUCACUUUUUACUUUUUGGUUUUAAUGUUUACAAUUGUUAUUUCAACUAAAGUUAAAUGGCAUCCAUUUCUAAUGAACAAAUAUUAUAAAAGGGAAAAUGACAUACAUAUACAGUACCUCAUUGGUUCACAGUCUCUGAAAGUGUGAGAAGCUUACUGUAGACAUGCUACUUCUCUGGAUUGACAGGAGUCUGUUGAAGUGGUUUACAGAUGAGGACAUGAUACCCAUGGCUAAAUGUCCCCACAGUAGAAGACUUGAGGAGCGCCACAGGGUAUACUGGAUGAAGUAUUUUCUUCAGCUGGCUUAGGAGAGCCCAGGAAUAAAUUAAGAAAGGUCCAGCAUCUGUCCAUCUCAAGAACUUCCCACCUCACUCCUUACCAGGACAGGUGGAUAGAGAAUGAAAACUGUUUUUGAAGCACAAGCUGUAGCAGUGACACACGCAGGGUUGAACAUUCAUCCAGAAAUGAUUAAGUUUUAAGAACUACUCAAAGAGCUACAUUAACCAAAAUGUAUGCUGACGUGCACAAAAGUAUUUCCGCAAUGCAGAUCAGUGAGCCACCUGUGUAACAUUGCAUGUAAAUGUCUGAUCAAUUGAUAUUUUCAUUUUUUAUUCUGCUGUUCCUACUCUUUCUGCUCUUAAUAAACUCUACUGGCUAA